UACGUAGGUGGCAAGCGUUGUCCGGAUUUACUGGGCGUAAAGAGCGCGCAGGCGGUCGUUCAAGUCGCGUGUGAAAGCCCCCGGCUCAACUGGGGAGGGUCACGCGAUACUGAUCGACUCGAAGGCAGGAGAGGGUAGUGGAAUUCCCGGUGUAGUGGUGAAAUGCGUAGAUAUCGGGAGGAACACCAGUGGCGAAGGCGGCUUUCUGGGCCUUACCUGACGCUGAGACGCGAAAGCGUGGGGAGCGAACCGG
rnacentral:rRNA from 1 species